ACCAGCAAGUCAAAUGCCAUCAGGGGACUAAGAGCCCGAGAGGAAGUUAGGGUACAGCCUUUAUUGUCUAGAUUUCUUCAAAUGAAGUCAGUGUCCAAGAAAGGCAAACCCAUCCUGGCUGUGUUUAAGCCUAAUCCAGCCGUAGCUAGCCUGUGCCACCUGCUUUGUGUUACAUAAGCCAUAGAUUUUUGCCUCAGACAGAUUUCUGUCUUCUGUAAUCACAGAAUCAAAAUGUGAGGAAGAGAGGGACUGGCUCAUCUUUUCUCAAAGCCUUUACCGGGAAGGACUCAGAGGGCCUUGCCUCGUGUACUCCGUCCCCUUUGAGUCUGCCUCUGUCCCAGAAGAUAUUGCUGAGCACCGCAGACAUACUGUGCUCAUGAGCAGCACGCCAUCGUGUAGAUAGAUUCAAUCUCUGCUGAUUGACAUUUGGGUUGAGUCUAUUCCCUAGGAUCAGACAAAAGGUAAGCACUUGAAAUAAAG